UGGUCAAGGCGUCAAUUCCUAUCCGUUUGGAUGGCCUUUUCGUCCACGCUGGCUCCGCGGCUUCCAAUGCCGUGCCGCCAGCUGAGAAAGCGAGCACGUCCAAGAAUGCCCUUUUCGGUCUCGGAGAUGGACCUACCAGCGCGGCAUUUCUUUGUGUGCAAUUGUGCAUGCCUCACCUACACUGUGCUCUGCUGUAGUACAUGUAGAUAUGAAGAACAGAAGCCGUGAACAAAUACAA
rnacentral:lncRNA from 1 species